rnacentral:rRNA from 1 species
GACGAACGCUGGCGGCGUGCUUAACACAUGCAAGUCGAACGGAAAGGCCCUGCUUUUGUGGGGUGCUCGAGUGGCGAACGGGUGAGUAACACGAGAGUAACCUGCCCUUGACUUUGGGAUAACUUAAGGAAACUGGGGCUAAUACAGGAUAGGAGCUUCUGCUGCAUGGUGGGGGUUGGAAAGUUUCGGCGGUUGGGGAUGGACUCGCGGCUUAUCAGCUUGUUGGUGGGGUAGUGGCUUACCAAGGCUUUGACGGGUAGCCGGCCUGAGAGGGUGACCGGCCAGGUUGGGACUGAGAUACGGCCCAGACGCCGAGGGGAGUGAGCAGUGGGGAAUAGUGCGCAGUGGGCGGAAGCCGGAUGCAACAACGCCGCGUGCGUUAUGACGGCCUUCGGGUUGUAAACCGCUUUCGCCUGGGACGAAGGGUGGUUGACGGUAAUUGGUAAAGAAGCGCCGGCUAACUACGUG